rnacentral:rRNA from 1 species
CUAUACAUGCAGUCGAGCGAAUGGAUUAAGAGCUUGCUCUUAUGAAGUUAGCGGCGGACGGGUGAGUAACACGUGGGUAACCUGCCCAUAAGACUGGGAUAACUCCGGGAAACCGGGGCUAAUACCGGAUAACAUUUUGAACCGCAUGGUUCGAAAUUGAAAGGCGGCUUCGGCUGUCACUUAUGGAUGGACCCGCGUCGCAUUAGCUAGUUGGUGAGGUAACGGCUCACCAAGGCAACGAUGCGUAGCCGACCUGAGAGGGUGAUCGGCCACACUGGGACUGAGACACGGCCCAGACUCCUACGGGAGGCAGCAGUAGGGAAUCUUCCGCAAUGGACGAAAGUCUGACGGAGCAACGCCGCGUGAGUGAUGAAGGCUUUCGGGUCGUAAAACUCUGUUGUUAGGGAAGAACAAGUGCUAGUUGAAUAAGCUGGCACCUUGACGGUACCUAACCAGAAAGCCACGGCUAACUACGUGCCAGCAGCCGCGGUAAUACGUAGGUGGCAAGCGUUAUCCGGAAUUAUUGGGCGUAAAGCGCGCGCAGGUGGUUUCUUAAGUCUGAUGUGAAAGCCCACGGCUCAACCGUGGAGGGUCAUUGGAAACUGGGAGACUUGAGUGCAGAAGAGGAAAGUGGAAUUCCAUGUGUAGCGGUGAAAUGCGUAGAGAUAUGGAGGAACACCAGUGGCGAAGGCGACUUUCUGGUCUGUAACUGACACUGAGGCGCGAAAGCGUGGGGAGCAAACAGGAUUAG